GCCAACAAGAACAGCUCUCUCUGGUCGGUAUUUAGGUUCAGCGUUCUCAUCCUACGAUGAGAUCACUGCUAGUUGUAGUUCUUCCCCUCCUGAUUCUUGUGCUUGCUGCCCACGUAUCCCAAGCUGAUGACAAGGGCUCUGCGGGUGGAAAUGGGAAGGCCUCCUAUGGGAGUGGUGAUCAUAAAUCCAAUGGUGUAGGGCCAGUGAAAAAUCCACAUUGCCCCAAGCCAGGACGUGGCCCGAAUCCUCACGACAAGGAUGGCCCAACCAAUAGAGGUCGGCCAAACAAGGACUGUGACGAUGCAGAGACAACACCGUCAUCGCCUGAUGGAGCUGGGCCUUCCCCGGACCAAGGUAAUGGUACCCCAUCGCCACCGGCAUCCCCGUCUUAUUCUCCACCCAUGGCUCCAACCGACCAAACUAAUACCCAGCCACCUCCAUCUCCAUUAGAUCCUAGUCCUACUACACCACCUGCCUACCAACCUAGCACUCAAUCUCCUCCACCGCCAUCACCAUCUAGCCCCUCGCCACAAGCUCCAGCCACCCCACAAACACCUCCAUCUCCUCCCCCUGUUACACCUCCAACAUACGAACCUAACAAUCAACCGCCACCACCUUCACUCAAUCCUUCAUCCAUUCCCCCACCUCCAUCGAGCCCACCCACAGCACCUCCAGUGGACCCAACUAACGAGCACCCUCCUCCAUCAUCGCCAUCAUCAAGCCCUCCACCACUAGCUCCUGCUACACCUCCACCCUACCAACCUAGCGAUCAAUCCCCUCCACCGUCAUCAUCAUCUAGCACCCCACCACUAGCUCCGGCAACCCCACAAACACCAUCUAGCCCCCCUUUUUCACCUCCAACCUAUGAACCUAAUGACCAACCGCCACCGCCUCAAUUGAAUCCUCCAUCCAGCCCACCUAUAGCACCUCCAAUGGGUCCGACUGAUGAGCAACUUCCUCCACCAUCGNNNNNNNNNNNNNNNNNNNNNNNNNNNNNNNNNNNNNNNNNNNNNNNNNNNNNNNNNNNNNNNNNNNNNNNNNNNNNNNNNNNNNNNNNNNNNNNNNNNNNNNNNNNNNNNNNNNNNNNNNNNNNNNNNNNNNNNNNNNNNNNNNNNNNNNNNNNNNNNNNNNNNNNNNNNNNNNNNNNNNNNNNNNNNNNNNNNNNNNNNNNNNNNNNNNNNNNNNNNNNNNNNNNNNNNNNNNNNNNNNNNNNNNNNNNNNNNNNNNNNNNNNNNNNNNNNNNNNNNNNNNNNNNNNNNNNNNNNNNNNNNNNNNNNNNNNNNNNNNNNNNNNNNNNNNNNNNNNNNNNNNNNNNNNNNNNNNNNNNNNNNNNNNNNNNNNNNNNNNNNNNNNNNNNNNNNNNNNNNNNNNNNNNNNNNNNNNNNNNNNNNNNNNNNNNNNNNNNNNNNNNNNNNNNNNNNNNNNNNNNNNNNNNNNNNNNNNNNNNNNNNNNNNNNNNNNNNNNNNNNNNNNNNNNNNNNNNNNNNNNNNNNNNNNNNNNNNNNNNNNNNNNNNNNNNNNNNNNNNNNNNNNNNNNNNNNNNNNNNNNNNNNNNNNNNNNNNNNNNNNNNNNNNNNNNNNNNNNNNNNNNNNNNNNNNNNNNNNNNNNNNNNNNNNNNNNNNNNNNNNNNNNNNNNNNNNNNNNNNNNNNNNNNNNNNNNNNNNNNNNNNNNNNNNNNNNNNNNNNNNNNNNNNNNNNNNNNNNNNNNNNNNNNNNNNNNNNNNNNNNNNNNNNNNNNNNNNNNNNNNNNNNNNNNNNNNNNNNNNNNNNNNNNNNNNNNNNAGUCCCCUUUUUACACCUCCAAUAUACGAACCUAACAAUCAACCGCCACCGCCUCCAUUUAAUCCUCCGUCCAUUCCCCCACCACCUCCAUCUAGCCCACCCACAACAACUCCAAUGGCCCCUACUAAUGAGCAGGCUCCUCCACCAUCAUUGUCAUUUAGCCCACCAUCAAUAGCUCCUACUACACCUCCACCCUACCAACCUAGUGAUCAAUCCCCUCCACCGCCGUCAUCAUCUAGUCCUCCACCACUAGCUCCAGCCACCCCACAAACUCCUCCAUCUAGUCCCCCUGCUACAUCUCCACCCUACGAGCCUAGCGAUCAACCACCACCGCCACAUUGCCCUAAGCCCGGACGUGGUCCAAAUCCCCAUGGCGGUGAUGGCCAUAGUAAUAAUGGUCGUGGACCACCAGAAAAGGAUUGCAGUGAAGCAGAGACAUCACCGCCAUCACCUGAGCCAUCCCCAAACCAAGGUAAUGGUUCGCCAUCACCACCGCCACCCCAAUCUUAUUAUCCACCCAUGGCUCCACCUCCAUUAGAUUCUAGUCCUCCUACACCACCACCACCAUACCAAACUAGUGAUCAAUCCCCUCCACCCCCAUCAUCCUCUAGCCCCCCACCACUAGCUCCAGCCACCCCACAAACAUCUCCAUCUAGUCCCCCUGUUACACCUCCAACAUACGAACCUAACUAUCAACCGCCACCGCUUCCAUUGAAUCCUCCAUCCAUUAGCCCACCACCUCCGUCUAGCCCACCUACAACACCUCCAAUGGCCCCGACUAAUGAGCAACCUCCUCCACCAUCAUCGUCAUCUAGCCCCCCACCAGUAGCUCCUACUACACCACCACCGUACCAAACUAGUGAUCAAUCCCCUCCACCACCAGCAUCAUAUAGUCCCCCACCACUAGCUCCAGCCACCCCACAAACACCUCCAUAUAGUUCCCCUGUUACACCUCCAAGUUAUGAACCUAACUAUCAACCGCCACCGCCUCCACUGAAUCCUCCAUCCGUUCCAACACCACCUCCAUCCAGCCUUCCUGCAACACCUCCAAUGUCCCCGGCUAAUGAGCAGCCUCCUCCACCAUCGCCAUCAUCACCAUUAAGUCCACCUGCCACACCUCCAACGUACCAAGCUAACCAACCACCGCCGUCGGCACUGACACCACCACCACCUAGUCCUUCAGCAACAACGUCACCACCUGGUCCCCCUACCGGUACUAAUGGAUGGGUGCAAGUUCAUAACUUCCGUGACACUUUGUACUGGCAAAUCGCGCGCUUUGCGGUAUUAAUGCACAAGUUGGUAUACAAGAAGGAGAUGACCCUUGUCGAUGUGUUGUAUGUGAGCAUGCAGCCUUCGGGAAUUGGCAACAACUACUUUCUUGAGAUAAAAGCUGCGGAUGAAAACAAUAAGGUCGGCAGGUAUCAAGUGCUCGUAUGGGGUGUGCCUGGGUCAACAGCUCAACCAUGGAAAGUACUGUCAUUUAAAUUUAUAGGAUACUAAAGCACAUGGUGAAACUAAGAAUCUAGCUAGUAGCCAUGUGUGGUAUUUCUAGGGAAAAGAUAUAUAGAAUUUUUGUGGUCAAUGUGCGCCUGCAUGUCUGUAGAUUAGUUAAUCUUUGUAGCACUUAGGGGCUUGAUAUACCAAUAUAUGAUUCUGAUUUCAACGAUAAUUUUUUUCUGUGUUCUUAUUCAAAAUUGCCUCAAACUUAUAAAAUAUGAUUGGAAAUAUGAUCAUAUAUAUACCUAGAAGCGUAAGCACGCUUCGCUGCGCCAUUUGUUUGAUGGUUACCCUGUACCUGUUAAAGUUUUUGCUUAUUUGUAGUUCACUAUUUGUUAGUUCUAAUAUUGCUACAAGUAGUAGUUGUUAACAUUAAUCGUGCCUGCAUGCUGACAAGAAAUAUCCUAGGCAGUAAAGCUGCAUGGAUGCAGCUAUCCAGAGCAAAGAAGAAGGUGAAAAAUGCAUGUCGUAUGACGGUAGUAGCAGGUCAAAAAGAAUUUGACUAGUAGUCUUUGCUGAUCAGUAAGUGACUAGUUGCACAAAGAAUGAGCUGCAUGUAAGCUAGAUGCCAAAGUCAAUUUGGCUAGUCACUAAGUAACAGAACAUGAAUGAAAUAACAGCAAGAAAAUACACAUAAUUACUGACAGGUUGACUCAAGCCGGACCAAGUAUAUGCACAAAAUUAAGAGUGCCAAGAAGUUGCAUUUCCAUGACUUGUUUUAGAAAUGUAAGUGCAAGUGCCUAAUCAGUAGCGUUGAAACUUGUACUCGGUUACAUCAGCAUAGCCAUCCUAGACAUAAGUUUAUAACCAAAAAAGAGAGUUGAAUAAGUAAUCACCAGCAGCACAUGGAAAAUGAUGGCUAUCAUGCUACAUAGUUAAGAAGCGACUAUUUUCAGUGUAAAUAAAAAAUAGGCAGUUGCAGCUAAUCUUGAUAGUAAGUAAUAAAAAUAUCCGGUAAGAAAAUGAGACUUAAAAAGGAGUAUUGGAACUUCAAAAUUGAAAUCAUAGAGGUACACCUUCUCAUCAGCCAAAAAAAAAAGACUAUGGCAAAUAACUUAGUCAGGCUCAACUACAGGGCAAAACCUAAGCAACAGGAUAGCCAACAGAGGGCACCCCAACACCUGCCACACAAUCGAAAAGAAGAGCACCCACCAUAUUUAGCCAAAAGAAUACCUACAUGCUGCGCCCAAACGUUUAAUCUUCGAACAAUAAUCUUAUGAAAUACACAUGCAAGCAGUUUUUGUGUUCAUAAACUUGACACAACCUGAACCCGAGUGUGGUUUUGUGUAGCUGGAGCUACACGGUACCCCUUAUCUUAGCCAUUCAUUUUGGCAUCAAGAUCCGUGCAGGCACAUUUGUCAUUUUUGUUUCUCUCAAACGAAAAAACGUAUAAACUUCACACUUUGCAGGACAACAAAACAUUCUAAUUACUACGUGGGAAAAAACUUUCAGAUUUUUUCAUGCAUUUAAAAUGCUUAAAUUUAUUUUUUUAAUCAAAAAAAUUCACAUUUUGUAUAUUUAUGUUGGUCCAAAAAAUCUGAAAGUUUUUUCACACAUUGAAGUUGUAAAGUUUGUUUGAUCUGGAAAGUUUGAAGUCCAUAUGUUCUUUCAUUUGAGAGAAACAAAAAAAAAGAAAUCUGCUUGUUGCAAGUUAGUUGAAGAGUACGGAUCUCAAAGCAAUAUUGAAGGGCUGAAGAUAAGAGGUUCCAUGUAGGACGAGCUACAAAGGAACUUUGUGCCCCCUGAAUAAACAAAAUGAUCUAGGGGAACACAACAUAAUAUGAUAUCAUCAUUUUUUGUGUUGGCAUGAUCGUAUUAGAAGAAAAUAAUUCCACUCUUCAGCCGUCAUUCAGUUUACAAAAUAAAAGCAUGAACCACACGUGCAGAUUGUAACACCAUCCCAUGGCCUAACCGCCUCUUGUGAUGCAUAUUUGAUACUUUCUAAAAGGUACUCCCUCCAUAUCAAAAUAUAAGAUGUUUUUUGACUGUCAAAAAUUGUUACAGAGGGAAUAAGAAUCUGCAGCAGCUCCUUAUGCCGCUUCUAGUCAAAUUAUAUUAUAUGGCAAAGAUUUAAAGCGAGUCUAAAGUACUAACAGCCUUUUGGCCUGCAAUGCUGAUCUACGGUGUAGGCACGCGUAUUGUAUUUGCAAUUGUAAGUAAACAUGGCGAAGGGCAGGUGUAACCAAGAACACUUACAGUAGCAGCUCUGAAAUCACCAGAAUUAAAUUAUGCCUCUUCCACAGGGUUAAAAACAAGAGGAAAAGCUGACCAUGAGCAAGGCCUCGCUACGAGGAUCUUAUUUUCAGAUGGUCGGUAAGCAGAUGCAAAUGCAUAAUAUUAUCCCUCCUCAUGGUAAACACACGACCUUUCAGGCAGGGGGAAAAAGCUUGUUCAUUCACAACCUCCCAACUAGCAUCACCACACCUUACCCUGUACAGAACAAGAGUAUUUUUUUAGAUGAUAGAAUAAGAGCAUUGGCAACCAAUAUGUUUAUAUUAUAACAGGGAUUAUCAGUAUAGUUGUAGAGAACACUUUCUAUUUGGCCUUGUAGCAAUAUCUAGGGCUAGGCACGAGUAUUGAAUACUUCACUUGGUCACGACGACUCAAUCAGAUGCUAGGUUAGCCUCUUGUCCCCGCACGAUGCAACUCCGUGCAUGCUCUCGAUUUUCCUCGUCGCCGGUCGUUUCCGCCCGGAUCUGACGCUCGUUCACAAGCUUCUCGCGAAGCUGGUUCCUGCAGCCUGCUUUGCUGCUCGCCUCGUCCAAGCUGCACACGAGCGCUGCCGGCGGCCCGUGCGCCCGCCUCCCCCUGCCGCCUGCCUCUUCCCGCCGGCUGCUCUGCCUGGCUGCAGCAGUGCUGCCACCUUUGCUCGGCAGCGCCCACCACCUCCUCGGCUCGGCCGCCUCGGGCUCUGCUCGGUCCGCCCGCCCCCGGCCAUUCCUCCGCCCGGCCGGCCCUGGCCAUCCCGCCGACUGGCCGUCUCCUCUGCUCAGGUCCGGCCCCGGCCAUCCCUUCGCUGGUUGCCUCCUCUGCUCUGGCUGUGGGCUCGCUCCCGCCCCUCCGCAUCGCUCUCCCGCAGCCGCUCGCUAGUUUCGGGCUGUUUUCCCGAUCCAGAUCGGGUCUUCCCUGAAGGUUGACCAAAAAGAGAGAGAGAGAGAGAGAAAGGCAGCAAUUCCUCAUGUCUUCUUCGGGUUAUAUUGCCGUUCCUCGAUGCUCAGUGAUCUUCGAUGGCACCAACUAUGCUGAGUUUGUGGGUUUCAUGCGCAUCCAUAUGCGGGGUCUUCUUUUGUGGGGCGUUAUCUCUGGCGAGGUUCCCUGUCCGCCCAGCCCUGUUGCUCCGAUGGCUCCUGUUCCGCCGGUGCCGCCGGUGCUUCCUACAGAUGCUUCUCAGGCUGAUCGAGAUGCUGCCAAGGCUCUUGAUGAUGCUGCAGUUGAUGCUUAUGAUCAGCAGAUAUCCGCAUAUUCUGAUGCUCUUUCUGUCUACCGGGAUGAUCCGUCUGCUUACACUCAGUGGUGCAAUGAUGAUGCUCGAGCUGCUGCUGUUCUCACUGCGAGUGUCCUACCUCAGUUUGCUUCGGAGUUCAUGGGCCUCGGCACUGUUGCAGCGAUGUGGUCUUAUCUUUGUCAGCGCUAUCAGCCCUCUGGCGAUGCUCUAUACCUCUCUGUGGUGCGUCAGGAGCAUGCUCUUCAGCAGGGUGACUCAUCUGUUGAUGAGUUCUAUUCACAGUGCUCUGCCAUCUGGCGUCAGCUUGACUCACUGCGGACAGUUGUGUGUGGCACUUGCUGUUGUUGCCAGACUACGAGGGCUGACUUGGAGUUUCAGAGGGUCCAUGAGUUCUUAUCUCGUCUCCGCUCUGAGUUUGAGCCUCGACGUGCUCACUUGUUUGCUCGUGGUCGUGUUCCUAUCUCAGAGAUACUUGCUGAGCUUCGUGCUGAGGAGACCCGCCUUCGUUCUGCUGGGUUGCUUCUGAUUCCCUCAGUAUUGGCUGUCAGGGCUCCUGUGUCAUCUGCUCGCCUCACUGCUCCGCCGCUCCUGCCUACUCCUCCAGGGGGGGUGAGCCGUCCUCCUUAUGCUGAGAAGGGCACGUCGCGCCGUGACACCGUCUGUGGUUACUGCUCCCGACAAGGUCACCCAGAGUCUGAUUGUCGCCAGAAGAAGCGAGACCAGAGGCGCUCCUCCUCCAGUGGGAUUCCUGUGUCUUUCUCGACUCCGUCACUCACUGAUCAGGACAUUGUUCGUCUCAAGCGUCUUCUUGCUUCCUUAGGCGCCUCGUCGACUGGCUCCGCUGCUGCUGUGACUGCAUCCUCCUCCUCACCAUCACAGGCAUCUACACAGUCAGGUACAUCUUCGUGGGUUCUGGAUUCUUGAGCCUCCUUUCAUAUGUCUUCUGAUUCUUCCGCGUUGUCUUCUCUCCGACCUCUUGAUUCGCCUGUUAAUGUUCUUACUGCCGAUGGCACAUCUCUUCCUGUUGCUAGUCGUGGUAUUCUUUCCACCCCAUCUUUUUCUGUUCCGAGUGUUUCACAUGUUCCUCGUCUUACCAUGAAUCUUUUUUCCGCUGCUCAACUUACUGAUUCUGGUUGUCGUGUCAUUCUUGAUACCAACUCUUGCUCCAUUCAGGAUCAUCUCACCAAGGCUUUGGUUGGUGCUGGCCCCCGGCGCCGUGAGUCAGAGGGCCUUUGGGAGGUUGACUGGCUUUGUGUUCCUUCCGUUGCCACCACUUCUGCCAGCUCUCAUGCUCUUGCUGCCUCUUCGUCUGCAUCCUUCCAGCAGUGGCAUCAUCGCCUUGGUCACAUCUGUGGUUCUCCUUGUCUUCCUUAGUUCGUCAGGGCCUCUUAGGGUUCUCCUUGUCUUCCUUAGUUCGUCAGGGCCUCUUAGGGUCUGUAUCUGGAGAUGUCUCCUUACAUUGUAAUGGUUGCAGACUUGGCAAACAUACUCAGUUACCUUAUCCUACUAGUGAGUCAGUAUCUCAGCAUCCUUUUGACUUAGUUCAUUCUGAUGUUUGGGGUCCUGCUCCCUUUAAUUCGAAAGGUGGUCAUCGCUACUAUGUUUUGUUUAUUGAUGAUUUCUCUCGCUACACUUGGCUCUACUUCAUGAAAUCUCGUAGCGAGGUUCUCCCUAUAUACAAACGUUUUGCUGCCAUGGUUCACACCCAGUUUGCCACGCCCAUUCGCACUUUUCGUGCUGACUUCGCUGGAGAGUAUCUCUCUCAGCUGUUGCAUGAUUUUCUCGCGGAACAGGGUACUCUUGCUCAGUUCUCCUGUCCUGGUGCUCAUGCUCAAAAUGGUGUUGCCGAGCGAAAGCAUCGUCACUUGCUUGAGACGGCUCGUGCACUGAUGAUUGUGGCUUCUCUUCCAUCCCAUUUUUGGGCUGAGGCUGUUUCCGCAUCCACCUAUCUCAUCAACAUUCAGCCAUCGACUGCUCUGCAGGGUGGCAUUCCUAUGGAGUGUCUUACUGGUCGCUCUCCUGACUACUCGGCUCUUCGUAUGUUUGGAUGCGUCUGCUAUGUUCUUCUUGCCCCCCGAGAACGCGCCAAACUGACUGCUCAGUCGGUUGAGUGUGUUUUCCUUGGCUACAGUGAUGAGCACAAGGGCUAUCGAUGUUGGGAUCCUGUGGGUCGUCGCUUGCGCAUCUCGCCUGAUGUGACUUUUGACGAGUCUCAUUCUUACUACCCACGUUCUUCUUCCUCGAGUUUCUCUAUGGACGACCUUUCUUUCCUUCUCCUUCCCGAUACACCCUGCUAUGUGCCUCAUGUGUCACCUCUUCCUCCGGCAGCUCUCAUUCCUUCUCAUUCACCACCGACCCCGUCUUCUCCGUCCUCCUCCUCCACCUCUCCCCCAUCCUCUCCAGUCCGUCGCCCUCUCUCACUGUUUCCUCUCCACUAUACUCGACGAUCUCGUAUUGAGGAUGUCUCCUCUAACGAGCCUUCCACCUCUGGUGCACCUCCUCUCACACCUCCUCCGGUUCAUAACCUCCGUGCUCGGCCUCGUCCUCCGCCUGAUCGCUACUCCCCUGAUCGGUACGGUCUCUCUGUUUUGACUGAGCCCACUUCCUAUCGCACUGUCAUGACUCAGCCUGAAUGGCAGCUUGCGAUGGCCGAGGAGCUUGCUGCCCUUGAGCGCUCUGGCGCAUGGGAUCUGGUUCCCCUCCCUUCUGGUGUCCGUCCCAUCACCUGCAAGUGGGUCUACAAGCUUAAGACUCGCUCCGAUGGUUCUCUUGAGCGCUACAAAGCUCGUCUUGUGGCCCGUUGCUUUCAGCAGGAGCAGGGGCACGAUUAUGAUGAGACAUUCGCUCCUGUGGCCCACAGGACCACUGUCCGCACUCUUCUUGCUGUGGCUUCUGUUCGUCAGUGGUCUAUCUCUCAACUUGAUGUUCAGAACGCUUUUCUCAAUGGCGAGUUGCGUGAAGAGGUUUAUAUGCAGCCACCACAGGGGUACUAUGCUCCUGAUGGUAUGGUCUGUAGACUUCGUCGCUCCCUAUAUGGUCUCAAAUAGGCCCCUCGCGCCUGGUUUGAGCGCUUCGCAUCUGUGGUGACCGCCACUGGUUUCUUGCCCAGUGACCAUGAUCCCGCGCUGUUUGUUCACACGUCUCCUCAUGGUCGGACUCUUCUCCUUCUCUAUGUUGAUGACAUGAUCAUCACUGGUGACGACACUGAUUACAUUGCCUUUGUUAAGGCUCGCCUUCGCGACCAGUUUCUUAUGACUGAUCUUGGUCCACUUCGCUACUUUCUUGGGAUUGAGAUCUCCUCGACCUUUGAUGGCUUCUACAUCUCCCAAAAAAAUAAUAUUCAGGAUCUUCUUGCUCGCGCUGCUCUCAAUGAUGAGCGCACGGUUGUGACUCCUAUGGAGCUCAACGUUCAACUUCGUGCCACCGAUGGUGACUCUCUCCCUAAUCCCACUCGCUAUCGUCACCUCGUUGGCAGCCUUGUCUAUCUUGCUGUUACGCGACCUGACAUCUCCUAUCCUGUCCACAUCCUGAGUCAGUUUGUCACAGCUCCCACCUCCGUUCACUAUAGUCACCUCCUCCGUGUUCUACGAUAUCUUCGUGGCACGAUCUCUCAGCGCCUUUUCUUUCCCCGCUCCAGCUCUCUUGAGCUCCAGGCCUACUCUGGUGCUACCUGGGCUAGUGAUCCCUCUGAUCGCCGCUCGCUGUCUGCUUAUUGUAUCUUUCUUGGUGGCUCUCUCAUUGCCUGGAAGACAAAGAAACAGACUGCAGUUUCUCGCUCGAGUACAGAGGCUAAGUUGCGAGCCAUGGCUAUGUUGACGGCUGAGGUGAUCUAGUUACGGUGGUUACUUGAGGAUUUUGGUGUGUCUGCUACUACCUCGACUCCCUUACUGUCAGACAGUACUGGCGCUAUCAGUAUUGCGCGUGACCCGGUGAAGCAUGAGCUCACCAAGCACAUUGGUGUGGAUGCCCACUUUGUGCGUGCUGCUGUGCAGGAUCACACUCUCGCUCUUCAGUAUGUGCCCUCUGAGUUACAGUUGGCAGAUUUCUUCACCAAGGCACAGACUCGAGCGCAGCACGGCUUUUUCCUCUCCAAACUCAGUGUUGUUGAUCCACCAUGAGUUUGAGGGGGGUGUUAGAUGUGUAUAGCCCCUUUUCGGUAUAUUCCCAUUGUAUAAGGGGUUUUCUGCACUUUGACUCACAUGUAUAUGUAAUGGCCUUUGGCCCUCAGGAAAUACUAGUUGCCAUUUAUCCAACAGAUCUAUGAUGGUCUCAAGAAAACAUACAUGUCUUGCUUGCAGAAGAUGUAAUGCACUACCAGUUUUACAACCGAAAGAUGCAUGGUUUCAGCCAUGAAGAGUUGCCUCAGAAUCUUGCUUAAUGAGAUCAGAUGAAGGUUUUAGUUAGUGAUAUUCUAGAUGAUCUCUUGUCAAUAAUUGGUGGGUGCUGCAACCAAAAUCAGUAAUAUAGUAAGCCUUAACAACUAACAAUGCUGAACAAUCAACCAAAUCAAUGGGUAACAGCCCACAAGACUUAUCAACAGAAAGCUAUAUCCCAAGAAAGGAAGAAAAUGAAUUAAGUGACUAUUGUUGCAUCGUGCAGAGAACAUUAUUUAAACAGGCAUGGUAAGAAUGGCUAAGUAAAUAUAGGAGCAAUAGCGUAGAAUGGCUAAAACGGAUGUCCAGAAUAAAAUGGUCUAGAACUUCUUACUUAUUCACUUCAACCCAUAAAAAGAGAUACACAUAAAAAAAGGCCCUGCACAUAUAGAAGUGUAUAUUCGCUUAGACCUGAAAUUAACUAUUCGUUGAAAUCCUUACUGAACAAGUAUUCUGUACAAGUGAACUGAGGUCCAACUUCAGUGUCUUACUCUUCCCCGACAAACAACUAAAAGACUAGCAGCUUGUAACAAAACCUUAAUUGUAUAUACAGAUAUGGUAGCAGGUUUUCACCAUCCUGCUUGGGAACUUUCAAUGGAUGACCAUUUCGAAAGUACAAUGGGACCAAUCUAUAAGUUGCUGAAAUACAACUCACAUUCUUCCCAGCGCAAAAAUGAAAUACAUAUAACUAAAAAAGUCGCAUGGUGAUUGCAAAAGAGAAUAGUCGACAAAGAAUACAAUCAAGGUAAAAUGAACGUACCAUGUACAAUAUUUGUUAUUAUCGUAAAAAAACUACUGUAUGUUAUUUACCGGGGCCUUGACAUGCCCAUUUUUCACGCUAAUCAAACUCAGCCUCUUGACGAUUGCCAAAAAUAAAUAAAUCCAGCUAGCCCAUGUAAAAGCAUGACCAAAUUGGCGUGAAAGUAAAAUUGCACCUUUUGUAUGUGGUUUCUCUCGCUGAACCACAAUGCCAUCAAUUAGCAAGACCAAGCGGAUUAGAAGGCGUAGCCUGGCAGUGCAUGGAGAGGACUUGCGACGGCGGUGCCAGCGGCGGCAUGGCGACCUAGGCAGCCGCGAAGAAUUCCGGCAAGAACGUGCGCCGACAAGGAGGGGUCCUUCUUGGGAUGGAUUCCACCUGGGGCCCGCCGGGAGAGUGCAGGGAGAAGGUUGUCUCGGGGGCGCUCCUGGACCGGAGUGACAUGCCGCGGCGAAUCGUCGAACAGGUGGUGCGCGUCCCGGAGCGGAGCGUGCGUGCUCCGUGGCGGCGGCGUAGGUGGCGUGCCGCUUCAAGCUGCGUGAGGGCGGUGAGAUGGAGGAUGAGCGGGAGGAGGCGGAGGAGCGGCGAGGGCGGGGGCGGGGGCGAGGGCGGGGGCGGGGGCGGAGGAGAGGCGAGACGGCCGGCGAGUGAGAAGGCACUCCUCCGUUUGAGUACCUCCUCUGUCUUCUUCCUUUAUUUUUGGCAAAUGAUUUCCUCUUCAUUUCAGGUUUAGGUCAAAACUUUGAACAUAAACAUAUAAAACUAUAUUCUGGUUCGAAUUCAAAAGAAGUUUGUAAUGGUAUACAUUCUGAUGCAUCUGAAUUAUAAUUUAUUAUUUAAAUUUAUGGUCAAAUUUGAUUCAAAUUACAGGGAUUUAUAAACUCGGACGGAAGAAGUACUCGUGUGUCUGAUUUGCGUCUUUAUUUCCCCUCUAAUGAAGAAACAUACUACUCCGACUAGUGGCAACUGCUAAAUAUACCUACAUUUAUGUAUAUAUUUCAAAAGAGGAUUACACGAUUUGUAGUGCUUUUGUUGAAAGGGGAACGAGAUCCUCUAACAUAGCAGCAACUACUGCAGAGGGACAUCGAUGUCUAGCGCCCGUCGAUGCCUCAUCCGAUGGCACGAAGUUGGAACGUGGCAAGCACCCCAGCAAUGCCUAAAGCCGUUCAGCCCAUAAACGAAGCCCAAUCGCGUAAGGGGAAAAACCUUCGAACCCCGUCGUUGUUCGCUCGCCGUCGCCAUUGCCAGCGCUCGUCGCUCGACGCCGCUGUGAGACUGAGCUUCGCAAUGCGAGAGAGGGUGACUGUUGCUGCCAUGUCCGCACCUCCGCCAUGAAGCCUAGCUGCUCAACCUAACAAGUUGAGGUUGAACUUGAAGUCUGAGAUUUGAGAUGGUGUUGUUUGUUAUGAUUUCAACCGGAACAUGUUGCCACCCAAAUUUGUUCAUGUAGAGAUAGCAACUGGACGCUUCAAAUUUGUUCUGACACAUCUGAAUUAUAAUUUAUUAUUUUAAUUUACUAAAUAUACCUACAUUUCUGUAAGGUGCCUUGGAGGCUCUCAGUAUGGUGUUAUUCAGCUCUAGCGAUCUUUUUGAUACAUGAACCUUUCUAUCGGGCCGGACACCUUGCGGUGGUGAUAGUCCUUUGGCAACAUCUACUCAUCCAAAUCCUACUACCGAGCCUCACUCCGCGACGUCCAUACUGAUCCACAUUGGAGGGCUAUUUGGACAUCUUGUUGGCUCCUAAUGAGGCUAAGCUUCACACCUGGCUUGCUUGCCGUGGGAGGUGAUGGACCUCCGACAGAUUGAUGUGGCGAGGUUUUGCCGCACUCCUUGGCAUGUCAAGAGCAGGAGUCCAUGGAGCACCUACUAGCAGAUUGCUCCUUCCCGAUGCAAGCAGCUUGGCACGAAACACUUUUGUCGGUGUGAUCCACCAGCGAGCCCCCUUCAUUGGUGACAACUUCCAGUACAACCAGGUGUCCUCCUGUGGCCUUUCUCUAGCUGUUCGGUGGAAGGGUAUGCUCGCAAACCCGCUUCUCUAGAAACAUCGAAACACAACACUUUCAAUGGUGCGACGCCAGGCGCCAGCCGAUUGCUUCGUGUAAUUCAAGACGAGGCUCAUGCUUGGUGUAGAGCUAGCAUCCUAGGGUUAUUUGAAACUAGAUGAUGCCCCGCACGAUUGUUGCGGAAAUAUUUUGCAACAUAUUUCCAUGUGAUUCAUUGUCUGAAACAUGAAUAUUUGAAAUAAUAAUAUAAAAGGCUGAAACUAAAAUACAUAUAAUUUAUUAUGUGUGAGUACUAUAUAGUUGUAAAAUAUUUAUUAAAUAUAAAUAUAAAUAGAAUGAAAAUUCUUUUGUAUGUUUGCAUGUUGAGAUGAGUCAUUUUUCCAUGCCUGUUUCAUGAUGAAAUGACAUGCUUGCAUGUUGAGAGACAUAUGAUAGUGGGGGUGGACCUUUUGUCAUGCAUAUUGUGCGAUGAUGUGUCAUGCUUGCAUGUUGAGAGAAAUAAUUAGUGAGGGUUAGCUAUUUACAUACAGAAGAGCUAUUUAAAUACAGAAGAUGACAAUCCAAUCCAUUUGCUACACAAAAAUAUAAAUAUCCACAUCACCAGAAUAUAUCACCACAUAAAAAUCUUAGCAUAUACCGUACUGUUAAUUAUUUUUGGCUCUCUAAGGGUGUGUACAAUGGUAUAUUACCUUGGUGAUGCCAUGUAGGGUAAUUCGUGACGUCAAAGAGAGAGAAAUGGUGAAGGAGACUUGUAUUCUCUUAGUUAAGAUAUGACCACUUAAUAAGAAAGAUAAAGCAUUUUCCAAACGUACUGGAUUAUUCUCCUAUUUACAUGUUUUCUAGUUUAAUUUUAACCAUUCCACUGUUUUAGGAACAACGGACGCCGCAGGCAGCCCUAUUAGCUACAAGGGCGAUACAAUAGUUACAGUCCACGAAAGGUUUCUCGGCCACGCUCCAGGCCAUAGAACAGGCUGCCUGGGGCCUGACGCCACCACUACAUGAAAGCAAUAUUUGCUAGGGAUAAAACUUAAGGACAUAUGUAUGUGGCAACCGUGUGGCAGAUUGUAAAACUGCCACACUGUCUCAUCGACGUCCGUUUUGAAUCUAGCGGAAAUAUGUAUAUGGCCCCAACAGUGGCGGUAGGCAGGGGGUGCGCCGCAAGGGGGAGCAGCAACCCCGCCUCAUCAAGAGCCGCUCCGCGCGCUAGGUCACCGCGCUGCCGCCGCCGAGGACCUUCUUCCGCUCCCUCUUCGUCGGCGAGAGCGAGAACGCCAUGCCCGCCUGCUCCAAACCCUGCUUCCCCCGCCGUCGCUGUCACAGCCAGUGGCUCCCACACUCAUGUUGACGCCAGCGCCAGGCAGAGGUGUUGCUUUUAGCCCAGCCAGGUUCGACCUUCACCUGUGCACGGCCAUACGCACUCCUUCCCAAAUUCCUCCACUGUACACAGCCGCCAACUCCUUCCCCAAUUCCCCAAUUAUGCCAUCUGCUGUCCACGUCCAACGACCAGUACACGUGCAAGUGUUGGCUGUUGUCGCCGGCUAGCUAGUACUGGUUCCUUUCAUGUUCAUGAAUCUUGACUUCAUAAUGGACAGCAGUAGUGCAGAACUCAUAGCACAAGCAUAGUACUUGUUCCUUUAUGUACCUAUAUGAUUGAAGGAAGAAUGUGUUCACUCGCAAAAAAAAAAGGAAGAAUGUGCAGAGGUGAUGGCAUGCUAUUUCUAGCCGGGGUUCUUGGCAGAAGGUGCUGAAUGUUAUGCAUGAGGUGGAGCAGCAGAACAAACAAGAGAAACUUGACAAGCAGCAACACAAAUAGGAGAAACUUGAGAAGCAGCAGCGGCGUCGGUGGCAGUUGUGUUGAGUACUUUAGUGUUCCUAACCCUCAAGCAGAGGAGCUUCCUCCUACUGAAACCUCCCUUGAUGAAACAACAGUAUCCUUAGCCUAAGUAUCCCUGCUACUCAUAAACCUUCAGAUGCCCGAACCAAACGCACUACCAUUUCUACUGAACACAAAAAAAAAAAAAACUGCACCAGCCUCCGUCCAAAGUAAUCCUAGAAUUCCUGAAAUAUCUCCUUUUCCUGUCGAAAGAAGAAUCAUUUUUUACCCUAUCUACCUCUCCUAAUAAGUUCUGUUAUAGGUCCAUGAGGUCAAAUUUUGUUGGUGGUACUAUAAAACUGUUGGAAAAGAGAAUGCAUCCUGGUUCAGAAAAAUAAAGUUUAAAAAUGAAUGCUACUUUUGUCGAGUACACAACUGCCUCACAGCCUGCUGCCUCUCGACGGUGUUUUUUGAGUUGCAAACAUGGCGGUAACCUUUACCCGGGAAUAAAACAGUUGCAAAAAAAGCACUCAUAAUUUCUCUAGUGGUUAGUAACGACAAAUCUGUAUGCGUCUUCUGAUGACUGAAGCUAUGGAUGUACUUCUUCUAGGCAAUAGUUGAACAUUUGCGGAGAGCAAAAAAGAGAGAGAUAAAUUUGUUACUGGAAAUUUGUUUGUCCAUCCAUCGCCAAUUCUUCAAUGGGGGGUGUAUAUAUUCUUCUUGUACAAACCAAAUUAGUCAUGGGGCAAUAAUUUCUAUUGCAUGUAAAAAUACUAUUUUGUUUUUUUUGUAGUAGGGACUUGAGCAAGUUGUGGAAAAAUUUAUUCAACAAUAACCAGUAACUUAUGUGUAAAUAGCAUGAUAAUAUACACACUGCAGACAUGAUAACUUACAUACAAACAUCGUGGUACUUCUUGACCGGAGAGAAAAUAUUUGACCCGAGAGGAAUGGUUGUUGAAAACAUACCCUCAGUAACUUCUAUGUAAAUAGCAUGGUAAUAUACAGUCCGUAGAUCUGACAACACUUACAAACACCACGGUAACAUUGAAAAAAGGGGAAAAAAUGUUGAAAAACAUACCCCUGGUAACUUCAGUGAAAAUUCCACGAUAACUGACAUGCCACAUGUGUGGUAACUUAUGUAGCCCACGUGCGGGGCCUUUAGGUUGGAAGAAACAAGUUGCUGAAAAUACCCUCGGUAACUUCUGCAUAAAUAACAUGGUAACAUAUGCACCACGGGCGUGAUAACUUAUCCACAAAUACCUCGAUAACUUUUACCCAUGAGGAAAAAGUUGUUGAAAAAUAUACACUGAUAACUUAUGUGAAAAUAACUCGGUAAUAUAUGAACUGCAUACACUGAUAAAUUACGCACAAAUAUCACGAUAACUCUAAACCAUGGAAAAAAUUGUUGAAAAUAUACCAUGAAUAACUUACGUGAAAAUAAGAUGGUGAUAUAUAAACCGCAUACACGAUAACUUACAUACAAACACCACGGUAAAUUUGACCAAGAAUGAAGAAAAUUGUAGAAAAACACACCAUUGAUAAAUUAUGUGAAAAUAGCAUGGUACUAUAUACGAACCGCACACUCGAUAACUUACAUAGAAACACCGCAGUAACUUGUUUUACCGAAAGAAAAAGUUGUUGAAAACAUACCCUGGUAAAUUAAAUAAUAUGGUACUAAACAACCCAUAUACGCGAUAACUUACGUGCAACCACCGUGAUAACUUUUUUGACCAUGAGAGAAAAUUUGUUGAAAACAUAUCAUGAUAAUAUAUGAACACAUGCUUUAUAACUUACGUACAAACACCGCAAGAAAGUUCUUGGAUAAUAUAAGCUCGGUAACUCAUGUGAAAUUAGCUCGGUAACUUGUUGUUGGAAAACAUAUCGUUGCUAGCUUAUGUGUAAAAGUAUGCUAAUGUACCUCCCGCAUACUCGAUAAUUUACGAACAAAACACCGUGGUAACAUUGACCAAGGGGAGAAAAAGUUGUUCAAAAAUAUACCUCGAUAACUUAUGUGAAAAUAGUGUGCUAAUAUACGCACCGUUCACCUGAUAACUUAGAUAUAAACACGGCAAUAACUUUGACGAAGGGGGAAACAAUUCUUGAAAAACAUAGCCCGAUAGUUUUCAUGUAAAUUGCAUGGUAAUAUAAGAAUUGCAUACCUGAUAAUUUAAGUACAAACACCGCGGUAACAUUUUUGACCAAGGAGGAAAAAGUUACUGAAAAAUAUAGCACGAUAAAUUCUAUGUAUAUAUCAUGGUAAUAUACGAACCUCAUACCCGAUAAAUUAAGUACAAACACCGCGGUAACAUUUGAUCAAGAUAGAAAAAAGUAGUUGAAAAACAUACCCCCGACAACUUCUAUGUAAAUAAUAUGAUAAUAUACGAACCUCAUAUCUGAUAAUUUAAGUACAAACACUGUGGUGAUUAGCAUCUGAAAAAGGAGCGAAGGGGACACCCGAGUUUGUGAACCAUCUGAACCGGUGUAAAAUAUACAUAAUUAUUUUUGAAAACCCGGUCAAGUGAGUCUGUCGGUUUGCAUUUUCGGUUAUUGAUCGCUCUCUUUCGUCGUUCGAUCUCGUGUCAGGAAUACAAGUAGUGUGCAAGUUGUACAAAAUCACGUAAGGUGGCCUAAUCCUGCUGGUUGUUGUAGCUCGAUAUACUGUUGGAGGUUGUGGGUUCGAUCCCACUACAACCGUAUUUCUUUUCCUUUUUUCAAACUACAAGCAGUGUGUGUGCAGAAGUGCAGAGGCCACUUCCCUUUUUCAAACUCCAAGGAUGGCCCAGCGAAUCGCGAGAAGAAGCGAAGAGGCCCAAAAAAUCGGGAGGGGUGGGUCGGGGGAAUCGAGGUGGCCCAGAAAAUCGGGAGGGAGGGGUUCGUGCGGGAUGUCGGGAUGGCCCAGGGAAUCGGGAAAAGAAGCGAGGUGUUUGGUGCGACGGGAGGGUGGUCGCUCUGGAGGAGAUGGCAUCGAAGGGAGAAGAGUAGUGUGGUACUUUUAGCAAUGUGGCAUACGUGUGUCAAAUAUCACAGUCCAAAACUUAAAUAUAAAUUGUAUAAACAUGUUUUUUUACUUCUCUAGAUAAAUUGAAUAUAUAAGAUAAGAUUAUCUUAUCAGCCACUUUACAUGCCUUAACUUAUCAUAGUUAAACCACAUCUAAUAGUUUGUCAAACAAAAAAACUGCAUCUUAUGACUCUCCUCAAUGCACACUCUUCUGAGAAAAUAUGCGAGGCUCAACCAAAUAAAACUUACUAGUUAGCCGAUGAAUUCACGAUAUUGGCCUAAGGACAUUCUAAAAAAUAUUGAUCUAAGUCACGUAUGCUUGCUGGAAAUACAAUCAGUGGUAAAUAUAUUCAUUGCAGCAAAUAUCAUGUCUAUUAUAUUACAAGUAGCCGACUACCGUAUAGCACGAAGAAGUGAGAGGUGGAAAUGCACUCAGGGCAUCUCUAACCGAUCCCCUAAAAUUUAGUGGAGUAAAAGGUUUAGUGGAGUAUAUAUACUCCAUUAAGUUUUGGUCGGACCUAGCCGAUCCUCUAAAUAUAACGGAGUAAAUUUUUGUUUUUCUAAACUUUGCAACUCUAGUAUAAAUUAUAACUACAUAUUAGCACAUAUAUAGAAACUAAACAUAAACUUGAAUGUUCAACCAAAUUACGAAUAUAGUUUACAAACUGAAUUAUUCAAAUUUAAACACGCCGAAUGGUUUAAAUGUAGCAAAUAUUAUUUCAUAGAACAACUAGGACUCGCUUAGACGUUGCCAAUGAUGCUCAAGAUGAUCUUGUUGGAGCUGAGUAUGAACUUGACGGUUCUCGAUCUUCCGAUGAUGCUCAAGAAAUGACAGUAUCCUAUUUGUAUCAUACUCUGGCUCAACCGGAGUCCCGUUAAUGAUGUACUGAAAGUUCUCAGGCAUAUCUCUCUUGUCUUCAAUGAUCAUGUUAUGCAAUAUGAUGCAACAAGUCAUAAUUCGCCAUAGAACCUUGGAGUUCCAGUACUCGGCAGGGCCAUCAACAAUUGCAAAGCGCUUCUGAAGCACACCGAAGGCUCUCUCCACAUCUUUCCUUGCAACUUCUUGACAUUGGACAAAGUGAGUGUUUUUGUUACCUUUUGGACGCGGAAUUGUUUUGACCAAGGUGGCCCAUGAUGGAUAUAUGCCAUCCGCAAGGUAGUAACCCAUCGAGUAGUUGUGCCCGUUGACCGAGUAGUCGCAAACAUGAGCUUCACCUUUUAUAAGCCUAGAAAACAGAGGUGAUCUCAAUAGCACAUUCAAGUCACUGUGAGAGCCAGGCAGACCAAAGAAUGAAUGCCAUGUCCAAAGAUCCUUCGAUGCAAAUGCCUCAAGAAUGAUUGUUGGAUCGUUGACGUGGCCUUUGUACUGACCCUUCCAACCCGCUGGACAAUUCUUCCAUCUCCAGUGCAUACAGUCAAGUGAUCCAAGCAUCCUUGGCCAUCCUCUUGCUUCACUCUCAGUCAUCAGCCUCUGGGUGUCUUCCUCGGUUGGUGCUCUCAAGUACUCCGGGCCAAAGGCAGCGAUCACUGCUUUGGUGAACCUUCGAACAGCCUCCAAGAUUGUGUCUUGGCCAAUGUGUACAUAGUCAUGAAUUGCAUCGGUGGAACACCCAUAAGACACGACUCGAACAGCCAUCCCUUCGCUGGCUGCCUCCUCUGCUCCGGCUGUGGGCUCGCUCCCGCCCCUCCGCAUCGCUCUCCCGCAGCCGCUCGCUAGUUUCGGGCUGUUUUCCCGAUCCAGAUCGGGUCUUCCCUGAAGGUUGACCAAAAAGAGAGAGAGAGAGAGAGAAAGGCAGCAAUUCCUCAUGUCUUCUUCGGGUUAUAUUGCCGUUCCUCGAUGCUCAGUGAUCUUCGAUGGCACCAACUAUGCUGAGUUUGUGGGUUUCAUGUGCAUCCAUAUGCGGGGUCUUCUUUUGUGGGGCGUUAUCUCUGGCGAGGUUCCCUGUCCGCCCAGCCCUGUUGCUCCGAUGGCUCCUGUUCCGCCGGUGCCGCCGGUGCUUCCUACAGAUGCUUCUCAUGCUGAUCGAGAUGCUGCCAAGGCUCUUGAUGAUGCUGCAGUUGAUGCUUAUGAUCAGCAGAUAUCCGCAUAUUCUGAUGCUCUUUCUGUCUACCGGGAUGAUCCGUCUGCUUACACUCAGUGGUGCAAUGAUGAUGCUCGAGCUGCUGCUGUUCUCACUGCGAAUGUCCUACCUCAGUUUGCUUCGGAGUUCAUGGGCCUCGGCACUGUUGCAGCGAUGUGGUCUUAUCUUUGUCAGCGCUAUCAGCCCUCUGGCGAUGCUCUAUACCUCUCUGUGGUGCAUCAGGAGCAUGCUCUUCAGCAGGGUGACUCAUCUGUUGAUGAGUUCUAUUCACAGUGCUCUGCCAUCUGGCGUCAGCUUGACUCACUGCGGACAGUUGUGUGUGGCACUUGCUGUUGUUGCCAGACUACGAGGGCUGACUUGGAGUUUCAGAGGGUCCAUGAGUUCUUAUCUCGUCUCCGCUCUGAGUUUGAGCCUCGACGUGCUCACUUGUUUGCUCGUGGUCGUGUUCCUAUCUCAGAGAUACUUGCUGAGCUUCGUGCUGAGGAGACCCGCCUUCGUUCUGCUGGGUUGCUUCUGAUUCCCUCAGUAUUGGCUGUCAGGGCUCCUGUGUCGUCUGCUCGCCUCACUGCUCCGCCGCUCCUGCCUACUCCUCCAGGGGGGGUGAGCCGUCCUCCUUAUGCUGAGAAGGGCACGUCGCGCCGUGACACCGUCUGUGGUUACUGCUCCCGACAAGGUCACCCAGAGUCUGAUUGUUGCCAGAAGAAGCGAGACCAGAGGCGCUCCUCCUCCAGUGGGAUUCCUGUGUCUUUCUCGACUCCGUCACUCACUGAUCAGGACAUUGUUCGUCUCAAGCGUCUUCUUGCUUCCUUAGGCGCCUCGUCGACUGGCUCCGCUGCUGCUGUGACUGCAUCCUCCUCCUCACCAUCACAGGCAUCUACACAGUCAGGUACAUCUUCGUGGGUUCUGGAUUCUUGAGCCUCCUUUCAUAUGUCUUCUGAUUCUUCCGCGUUGUCUUCUCUCCGACCUCUUGAUUCGCCUGUUAAUGUUCUUAGUGCCGAUGGCACAUCUCUUCCUGUUGCUAGUCGUGGUAUUCUUUCCACCCCAUCUUUUUCUGUUCCGAGUGUUUCACAUGUUCCUCGUCUUACCAUGAAUCUUUUUUCCGCUGCUCAACUUACUGAUUCUGGUUGUCGUGUCAUUCUUGAUACCAACUCUUGCUCCAUUCAGGAUCAUCUCACCAAGGCUUUGGUUGGUGCUGGCCCCCGGCGCCGUGAGUCAGAGGGCCUUUGGGAGGUUGACUGGCUUUGUGUUCCUUCCGUUGCCACCACUUCUGCCAGCUCUCAUGCUCUUGCUGCCUCUUCGUCUGCAUCCUUCCAGCAGUGGCAUCAUCGCCUUGGUCACAUCUGUGGUUCUCCUUGUCUUCCUUAGUUCGUCAGGGCCUCUUAGGGUUCUCCUUGUCUUCCUUAGUUCGUCAGGGCCUCUUAGGGUCUGUAUCUGGAGAUGUCUCCUUACAUUGUAAUGGUUGCAGACUUGGCAAACAUACUCAGUUACCUUAUCCUACUAGUGAGUCAGUAUCUCAGCAUCCUUUUGACUUAGUUCAUUCUGAUGUUUGGGGUCCUGCUCCCUUUAAUUCGAAAGGUGGUCAUCGCUACUAUGUUUUGUUUAUUGAUGAUUUCUCUCGCUACACUUGGCUCUACUUCAUGAAAUCUCGUAGCGAGGUUCUCCCUAUAUACAAACGUUUUGCUGCCAUGGUUCACACCCAGUUUGCCACGCCCAUUCGCACUUUUCGUGCUGACUUCGCUGGAGAGUAUCUCUCUCAGCUGUUGCAUGAUUUUCUCGCGGAACAGGGUACUCUUGCUCAGUUCUCCUGUCCUGGUGCUCAUGCUCAAAAUGGUGUUGCCGAGCGAAAGCAUCGUCACUUGCUUGAGACGGCUCGUGCGCUGAUGAUUGUGGCUUCUCUUCCAUCCCAUUUUUGGGCUGAGGCUGUUUCCGCAUCCACCUAUCUCAUCAACAUUCAGCCAUCGACUGCUCUGCAGGGUGGCAUUCCUAUGGAGUGUCUUACUGGUCGCUCUCCUGACUACUCAGCUCUUCGUAUGUUUGGAUGCGUCUGCUAUGUUCUUCUUGCCCCCCGAGAACGCGCCAAACUGACUGCUCAGUCGGUUGAGUGUGUUUUCCUUGGCUACAGUGAUGAGCACAAGGGCUAUAGAUGUUGGGAUCCUGUGGGUCGUCGCUUGCGCAUCUCGCCUGAUGUGACUUUUGACGAGUCUCAUUCUUACUACCCACGUUCUUCUUCCUCGAGUUUCUCUAUGGACGACCUUUCUUUCCUUCUCCUUCCCGAUACACCCUGCUAUGUGCCUCAUGUGUCACCUCUUCCUUCGGCAGCUCUCAUUCCUUCUCAUUCACCACCGACCCCGUCUUCUCCGUCCUCCUCCUCCACCUCUCCCCCAUCCUCUCCAGUCCGUCGCCCUCUCUCACUGUUUCCUCUCCACUAUACUCGACGAUCUCGUAUUGAGGAUGUCUCCUCUGACGAGCCUUCCACCUCUGGUGCACCUCCUCUCACACCUCCUCCGGUUCAUAACCUCCGUGCUCGGCCUCGUCCUCCGCCUGAUCGCUACUCCCCUGAUCGGUACGGUCUCUCUGUUUUGACUGAGCCCACUUCCUAUCGCACUGCCAUGACUCAGCCUGAAUGGCAGCUUGCGAUGGCCGAGGAGCUUGCUGCCCUUGAGCGCUCUGGCGCAUGGGAUCUGGUUCCCCUCCCUUCUGGUGUCCGUCCCAUCACCUGCAAGUGGGUCUACAAGCUUAAGACUCGCUCCGAUGGUUCUCUUGAGCGCUACAAAGCUCGUCUUGUGGCCCGUUGCUUUCAGCAGGAGCAGGGGCACGAUUAUGAUGAGACAUUCGCUCCUGUGGCCCACAGGACCACUGUCCGCACUCUUCUUGCUGUGGCUUCUGUUCGUCAGUGGUCUAUCUCUCAACUUGAUGUUCAGAACGCUUUUCUCAAUGGCGAGUUGCGUGAAGAGGUUUAUAUGCAGCCACCACAGGGGUACUAUGCUCCUGAUGGUACACGUGUGUCAAAUAUCAUAGUCCAAAACUUAAAUAUAAAUUGUAUAAACAUGUUUUUUUACUUCUCUAGAUAAAUUGAAUAUAUAAGAUAAGAUUAUCUUAUCAGCCACUUUACAUGCCUUAACUUAUCAUAGUUAAACCACAUCUAAUAGUUUGUCAAACAAAAAAACUGCAUCUUAUGACUCUCCUCAAUGCACACUCUUCUGAGAAAAUAUGCGAGGCUCAACCAAAUAAAACUUACUAGUUAGCCGAUGAAUUCACGAUAUUGGCCUAAGGACAUUCUAAAAAAUAUUGAUCUAAGUCACGUAUGCUUGCUGGAAAUACAAUCAGUGGUAAAUAUAUUCAUUGCAGCAAAUAUCAUGUCUAUUAUAUUACAAGUAGCCGACUACCGUAUAGCACGAAGAAGUGAGAGGUGGAAAUGCACUCAGGGCAUCUCUAACCGAUCCCCUAAAAUUUAGUGGAGUAAAAGGUUUAGUGGAGUAUAUAUACUCCAUUAAGUUUUGGUCGGACCUAGCCGAUCCUCUAAAUAUAACGGAGUAAAUUUUUGUUUUUCUAAACUUUGCAACUCUAGUAUAAAUUACAACUACAUAUUAGCACAUAUAUAGAAACUAAACAUAAACUUGAAUGUUCAACCAAAUUACGAAUAUAGUUUACAAACUGAAUUAUUCAAAUUUAAACACGCCGAAUGGUUUAAAUGUAGCAAAUAUUAUUUCAUAGAACAACUAGGACUCGCUUAGACGUUGCCAAUGAUGCUCAAGAUGAUCUUGUUGGAGCUGAGUAUGAACUUGACGGUUCUCGAUCUUCCGAUGAUGCUCAAGAAAUGACAGUAUCCUAUUUGUAUCAUACUCUGGCUCAACCGGAGUCCCGUUAAUGAUGUACUGAAAGUUCUCAGGCAUAUCUCUCUUGUCUUCAAUGAUCAUGUUAUGCAAUAUGAUGCAACAAGUCAUAAUUCGCCAUAGAACCUUGGAGUUCCAGUACUCGGCAGGGCCAUCAACAAUUGCAAAGCGCUUCUGAAGCACACCGAAGGCUCUCUCCACAUCUUUCCUUGCAACUUCUUGACAUUGGACAAAGUGAGUGUUUUUGUUACCUUUUGGACGCGGAAUUGUUUUGACCAAGGUGGCCCAUGAUGGAUAUAUGUCAUCCGCAAGGUAGUAACCCAUCGAGUAGUUGUGCCCGUUGACCGAGUAGUCGCAAACAUGAGCUUCACCUUUUAUAAGCCUAGAAAACAGAGGUGAUCUCAAUAGCACAUUCAAGUCACUGUGAGAGCCAGGCAGACCAAAGAAUGAAUGCCAUGUCCAAAGAUCCUUCGAUGCAAAUGCCUCAAGAAUGAUUGUUGGAUCGUUGACGUGGCCUUUGUACUGACCCUUCCAACCCGCUGGACAAUUCUUCCAUCUCCAGUGCAUACAGUCAAGUGAUCCAAGCAUCCUUGGCCAUCCUCUUGCUUCACUCUCAGUCUGGGUGUCUUCCUCGGUUGGUGCUCUCAAGUACUCCGGGCCAAAGGCAGCGAUCACUGCUUUGGUGAACCUUCGAACAGCCUCCAAGAUUGUGUCUUGGCCAAUGUGUACAUAGUCAUGAAUUGCAUCGGUGGAACACCCAUAAGACACGACUCGAACAGCCGCAAUGCAUUUCAUCAGAGGGCUUGCACUGAUCUCUCCACAUGCAUUUCUCCGGAGCGUGAACCGGUCAUCAUAUCUCUCAAUGGCUUUUGCAAUGUUCAGAAAAGGACUUGUGUGCAUCUGAAAGCUCCGGCGAAAGUACUUCUCCGGAUAGAUUGGGUUUGGAUCAAAGUAAUCUCUCGUAAUCUUGGCAUGGCUCUCCGCUAUAUCACGGUUGAUGUCUACGCGGCUAAAUUGUGAUCCUCUCCUCGGCCACCGAACAUCAUCAUUAAAAAUCAUGCCUAAAACGGUGUCAAAGUCAUCGUCGUCUUCUUCCUCCUCUUCGGAUGACGACGAGUCCUCUAAUGCCAUCCGCCUCAACCUCUUCAUCUACACUCCAAACGGUUCGGUUCAAUCCAAACGGCACGGUUCAAAGAGAAACAAACAAAAAAACUCACCUAGGCAAUUCUUCGAACACUUGGGGUGCAGUGGUGGUGCAAAAGUUGGCCGGCAUGGUUUACACCAAAUCGGCAAGCGGCGGGUGACCUGCAGCGGUGCACAAGCAAGGUGAGAUGCGGCGGCCGCUAGAAAAAGAAGAAACUCGAAAGAAAUCAGACGGAUCAACAAUGCCGACAGCGGCGGGUUUCACCUUGAUUCCGAUGACAGCGACGGGGACCGAACGGGCUAGCCGAUGGGCAGAACGGUGGCGGAGGGCAAGGGAUGGAACGAGGUACCAGCAGGGCCGGUGGGAGGCGCGCUGGCAAGAUGCAGCGGCGGCGCAGACACGAGAGAGAGGCGCAACGUUUUACUCGGCCACCCAUCGUUGGAAUAAAAAUAGAGAAAUUUUUGGGGCCCGAGCAAAAAUAUACUCCACUAACCGCGGAUGGGGGAUCGGCUAGGUGCCGGUUAGCGGAGUAAAAUUAAAAUUUUACUCCACUAACCGGAUAUAGGGGAUCGGUUAGAAAUGCCCUAACGUUAACAGUGAGAUCAGUAGAAAAGGAACACCCAUGCAUCAUGUGGGCAAGAUUGACAAGGAAAGUACUCUAUCGUUCAUGUUAUGUUGCCAGGCCAUUACACACUGUUAAGUAAUCUCACUGCUAUAUGAAAAGUUUAUCAUCCCUCCAUGCAUAGGAUGCAAACUGGAGAUUUAUAUCAAGAACCUCAACUGGAACCUAUCACUAGGGAAAGCUCAAAUAAUCCAGGAAUCGCGAAACAAAGCGAUGUACAUAGAAACAUUGGCCAAUAUACAGCCCAGCAGUCAAAGUAAAAAAAAUAUAAAAUCUAUGAGCCACAUAUACCAAGAUGAAUCACUUGGACGAUUCCUAAUGAGCACACAUGCUCCCAUUUCUAGCAUUUCUUCCAAGUAGAUUUGCAUUUAGUUGCAAAGAAACAGUAUAGUCGUGAGAAGCUCCUACCAAGCAACACAAAACAGAAAAAAUAUUCUCCCAGAUGAUAUAUUUAACAUGCAUAAUUGUUUGAGUGAAUCAGAUAUAAGACCUAGUCAUCUCAAAUGUAAAUGUUUAAUACUCCCUCCGUCCAAAAAAGUUUGUCCCUCAAAUGAAUGUAUCUAGCACCAAGUUAGUGCUAGAUACAUUCAUUUAAGAGACAAGAUUGGGACAAACUUUUUCGGACGGAGGGAGUAUCUAUUUACUGGAAUGAGAACUUGAGAAGACACCCAUUACUAAAAAACGAUCCACUUAGAUGCACUAAUGUAAAGGAAAGAGCAUUAAACAAUGGAGAUGGAGAAAAGCAACACAAAUUACCUUUUGUGCAAUUUUCAUGCUUUCAUGUAUGGAAAUUAUUUUCGUCCAGCAUGUAGUACAUAAACUAAGUAUUCUCUGAAUAUCAAAUAAGUAUAGUAGAAAUGCCCAAUGAUGACCACAAGACUAGUAGAUGGACAGAAAAAAAAAUGAUUACAACAAAGAAUAUCUAACAGCAUACGUUGCAUAAGUUGCACAAAGUAGCACAUCUACGUUUAUGUUCCACAAACUAUUAAAAAGGACAUUAACAGCAGAAACUAGCCACUCCAAAUGAAAAUUCACAAGGAGCAUACCAUAACACAGGAGCUUCCUGGCCCAAAAGGAUUUACUAGGAGCAUCACCAAAACGCAAGCGCUAACUAAUAUGCUUUAAGUUUAGAGAGUUCACAAUGUUUCCUCUGCUCUAACAUACUUGUUACUGGGCAAUGCAAAAGAGUGAAAAUACAAAGGUGAUUUCAAUGUCUUUAUUUCUUGUGAUGUGACUUAUAUCCAGAGAGCAUUUCAAUACUCUAGUUUUGCAUUUGUAUAUGGAACUAGAAGAGGUCAGCGAAGCUAGAAAUAAAUAUAGAACUACUGCACCAUGACAUGUAGCAGUAAUACCACCGAUUUGAAUGGGAACUUGUCUUCCUGAAAAUAUCACCCGCAACAGAUAGUGAAUUUAGAUCGAUUUUACAGUUAUUUGCAGUGCAUUACUCAGUAUGCACAUUUACAUUCAAAAAACCUUCUCAAUCAGCCACGAUGGUGGCAAAAACCAAGCAGAACAUGGUUGAAUAAUACACACGAUUUACUUGCGCAUUUAUGUUCUAUCUCUUGCCUCUUUUUAGAACAUCUCAAAGACUUAAUGCAGGAUGCCUAAAUCGAGGAUGGUAACUAAAUAGACUCUCAUAACAUUACAGGGCAUGUAAAGCAAGGCAUCUCUAGGACAUCAGACUGGUGAAGGAACAAAUUAAACUUAUGCUUGUAUGCAAACCAAGACACAUAGCUCAGGAAAACCACUUGAUUUCACUAGAACUAGUGAUUCUGGACAGUUGACCUCUUUGUAUUGGCAUUGUGUCAGCAAAGGCGUUGAACGCCUCUUGGAACUCAUACGCAAUGUGAUGCGUCGGCGUCGGUCGCCACAUACAUUCUAGAAAAGAAAAGGUAUAUUUCAGAAAUAUACACUUAUCCCAUGAAUAUGAUUGGCCCCCUAAAAGAGUUGUGUACCAGCAUCAUUGCUACUUUCAUGAACUGUUAAGUUUGGACUCUGUCAAAUUAGCAUUGGCCAUUGGGGCAACGAUGUGACUGGAAGUAGGUCUAGCUUUUGCACCCACAAGAAGAAAUGAGGAACUGAACAGCAUCAAAAUGAGAAUCAAUGAGAGUUGUCUUGCUUGGGAUGCUGACACAGCAGCCAAGGUGAUCUGGUGCAGGAGCAGUUUUCAUUUUUUUAAGUUGAGAUACUUUGUUGCCUCCUGUACCUAACUCAUAUAAUUUUCAGGCCAUGAAUUCUUCACAUGGAGGGAUGCGACGUUUGAUCGUCCGGGAUUCCCAGGUUUCAGUGCUGCCCAUGAAAGCCACUGCUAAAUAGAUCUCCCGCCCAUUUGCUGUGUGCUGCAGCUGCUACAGAUCUGGCACUGCUAGCUAAUUAUCUCUGAAGUCAACUAGCUAAUCAACUUAACUAAGGCACCUGACAGUUUUUGCCUGCUCCAUUUGGAAUCAGCCCACGCCUCCCAAGCUCUGCUUCUGAUGGCCAACCCAUUAUCACACAGUGUGGCAUUAAUUAGUUCCAUGCAUGGCCCUGCGAUCUAGGCUAAGAUGCUGUGCACGGAGAACCAUGGAGCCUGUAAAAUGUCAACGCAAUUAGCAGAGAAACCCAGUGGGUUACACUGCUGGUUUUCACUUGUGAUGAUUCUUUCUCCCUCUUUUAUCUGACAGGAAACAAAUGCAGGCCGGUGCGUGAGGAGCUGACCUAAGAAUUAACAAAUGCAGGCCGGUGCAGUGCGUGACAAUGUAAGAAUCUUGUGUGAGUCAGAUCUAGCAAAACAUAGCCAAUACCAAGGUUAACACCACUAUAAAUGGCUAGCAUUGCUGCCCAUUCUGGACAAACCCAUAAGCCAAACAAAACAGCUCUCUGGUAGGUGUUUACGCUUAGCGUUUUCACCCUACAAUGAGAUCGCUGCCUAUUUUAGUUCUUUCCCUCCUGAUUCUUGUCCUUGCUGCCCAUGUAUCCCAAGCCGAUGACAAGGGCUCUUCGGUUGGAAAUGGGAAGGAUUCCCAUGACGGUGAUGGUCAUAAAUCAAAUGGUGUAGGGCCGGUGAAAAAACCAAAGUGCCCUAAGCCCGGACAUGGUUCGAAAAACCAUGACAAUGAUGGUCGAGGACCACCAGAAAAGGAGUGCGAUGAUGGAGAGACAACACCGUCAUCACCUGGGCCUUCCCCAGACCAAGGUAAUGGUUCACCAUCACCACCGCCAUCCCCAUCCUAUUCACCACCGGUGACUCCAUCACCUCCACCUUCGUCAGAAACUAGUCCUCCUACUACACCUCCACCCUACCAACCUAGCAAUCAAUCUCCUCCGCCGUCAUCCUCAAGCCCCCCACCAACACCUUCAUCUAGUCCACCUGUUACACCUCCAACCUACGAACCUAAUGAUCAAUCGCCACCGCCUCCAUCUAGUGUGCCCGCGGCACCUCCAAUGAACCCGACUAAUGAUCAGCCUCCUCCACCAACAACGUCAUCUAGCCCCCCACCAACACCUCCGUCUAGUCCCCCUGUUAUGCCUCCAUCCUACGAACCCAACGAUCAAUCGCCACCACCUACAUUGAAUCCUCCAUCCAUUCCAUCACCACCUCCAUCAAGCCCAACUGCGGCACCUCCUAUGAACCCGACUACUAAUCAGCCUCCCCCACCAUCAUCGUCAUCUAGCCCGCCACCAAUAGCUCCAACUACUCAACCACCUGCCUCUAGCCCACCUGCUACACCUCCAACAGACUCAACUGAUGAGGAAACUCCAACAUCACCACCAUCAUCUAGUCCACCACUAACUCUAUCAAGUCCUCCACCACCGUCAUCAAGUACACCACCGGCUCCAUCCAUUGCCACACCACCUUUGUCUAGUCCCCCCGCUACACCUCCAACGUACCAAGAUGAUGACCAGUCCCCUCCACCUCCACCAUCAUACAACCCGCCACCGACAGCUUUAGCUAGUCCUCCACCACCACCAUUGAGUCCGCCAGCAAUAGCACCAACCACUAGCGCACCUCCUCCAUCUACUUCCCCACCGCCUAUGUCUAGUCCACCAGCAACACCUCCAAUAGACUCAACUGAUGAGCAAACNNNNNNNNNNNNNNNNNNNNNNNNNNNNNNNNNNNNNNNNNNNNNNNNNNNNNNNNNNNNNNNNNNNNNNNNNNNNNNNNNNNNNNNNNNNNNNNNNNNNNNNNNNNNNNNNNNNNNNNNNNNNNNNNNNNNNNNNNNNNNNNNNNNNNNNNNNNNNNNNNNNNNNNNNNNNNNNNNNNNNNNNNNNNNNNNNNNNNNNNNNNNNNNNNNNNNNNNNNNNNNNNNNNNNNNNNNNNNNNNNNNNNNNNNNNNNNNNNNNNNNNNNNNNNNNNNNNNNNNNNNNNNNNNNNNNNNNNNNNNNNNNNNNNNNNNNNNNNNNNNNNNNNNNNNNNNNNNNNNNNNNNNNNNNNNNNNNNNNNNNNNNNNNNNNNNNNNNNNNNNNNNNNNNNNNNNNNNNNNNNNNNNNNNNNNNNNNNNNNNNNNNNNNNNNNNNNNNNNNNNNNNNNNNNNNNNNNNNNNNNNNNNNNNNNNNNNNNNNNNNNNNNNNNNNNNNNNNNNNNNNNNNNNNNNNNNNNNNNNNNNNNNNNNNNNNNNNNNNNNNNNNNNNNNNNNNNNNNNNNNNNNNNNNNNNNNNNNNNNNNNNNNNNNNNNNNNNNNNNNNNNNNNNNNNNNNNNNNNNNNNNNNNNNNNNNNNNNNNNNNNNNNNNNNNNNNNNNNNNNNNNNNNNNNNNNNNNNNNNNNNNNNNNNNNNNNNNNNNNNNNNNNNNNNNNNNNNNNNNNNNNNNNNNNNNNNNNNNNNNNNNNNNNNNNNNNNNNNNNNNNNNNNNNNNNNNNNNNNNNNNNNNNNNNNNNNNAACACCUCCAACGGACUCAACUAAUGAGCAAACUCCAUCACCACCACCAUCUAGUCCACCAGUAGCUCUAUCAAGUCCUCCACCACCAUCAUCAAGUACACCACCGGCUCCAUCCAUUGCCACACCACCUUUGUCUAGUCCACCUGCUACACCUCCAACGUACCAAGCUGAUGACCAGUCCCCUCCACCUCCACCAUCAUAUAGUCCGCCACCGACAUCUUUAGCUAGUCCUCCACCACCACCAUUGAGUCCACCAGCAAUAGCACCAACCACUAGCGCACCUCCUCCAUCUACUUCCGCAUCGCCUAUGUCUAGUCCACCAGCAACACCUCCGACCAACCAAGGUAACCACCCACCGCCAUCAUCACCAUUAAGUCCACCUACCACACCUCCGAUGUACCAAGUUAACCAACCACCACCGCCACCACAAUUUAGUCCCCCAGCCACAUCUCCGACCUAUCAAGGUAAUGCCCCACCACCGGCAUCGGCACCAGCACCACUUAGUCCCUCAGCAGUAGCACCGCCGCCUGGUGCCCCUACUGGCAAUGGAUGGGUGCAAGUUCAGAACUUUCAUGAUGCCCUAUACUGGCAAAUCGGGCGCUUUGUAGUGUUCAAGUUGGUAAACAAGAAGGACAACUCCCUUGUUGAUGUGCUCUAUGUGGGCAUGCAACCUGCAGGAAAGGGCAACAACUACUUUCUUGUGAUAAAAGUAGCAGAUGAAUAUAAGAAGGUCGGCAAGUAUCAUGUGCUCCUAUGGGGUGUGCCCGGGUCAGCAGAUGAAGCAUGGAAAGUAUAUUGGCUCAAAUUUGUAGGAUGAUAAGCACAUGGUGAAAACAAGAUUAUCUAGCUAUCGACCAUGCAUGGCAUUUCUAGGGAGAAGAUAUAUAGACAUUUUGUGGUAAAUGUGCACCUGCAUGGAUUAGUUGAUCUUUGUAGCUUUGAGGGGAUUGAUAUCCAACUAUAUGUUCUGAUUUCAGUAAUAAAUUAAUGUUGUGUUCUCGUUAAAAUUGCCUCAAAUUUACAAAAUAUGGGUGGAGAUAUAAUCAUGUAACUCAAAGCAUAAGCAUGCUUCACUGUACUGUCAGUUUGAUGGUUGCCUUAGAAUUCCUAUUAAAGUUUUUUGCUUAUC
rnacentral:lncRNA from 1 species